rnacentral:rRNA from 1 species
GAUGAACGCUAGCGACAGGCCUAACACAUGCAAGUCGAGGGGCAGCACAUGAGUAGCAAUACGAUGGUGGCGACCGGCGCACGGGUGAGUAACACGUAUGCAACCUGCCUUCUACUAUGGGAUAACCCGUUGAAAGACGGACUAAUACCGUAUAAUACAGGGGCUCCGCAUGGAGAUAUUUGUUAAAGAUUUAUUGGUAGAAGAUGGGCAUGCGUAUGAUUAGAUAGUUGGUGAGGUAACGGCUCACCAAGUCAACGAUCAUUAGGGGUUCUGAGAGGAAGGUCCCCCACACUGGUACUGAGACACGGACCAGACUCCUACGGGAGGCAGCAGUGAGGAAUAUUGGUCAAUGGACGAGAGUCUGAACCAGCCAAGUCGCGUGAAGGAAGACGGUUCUAUGAAUUGUAAACUUCUUUUGUGCAGGAAUAAAGUGGGUUACGUGUAACCUUUUGUAUGUACUGUACGAAUAAGGAUCGGCUAACUCCGUGCCAGCCGUCGCAGUAAGAC